UGAAAGUGAAUGUCUCUGACAUUAUACCAGCUGACUUUGUAAACACAGCAGCCCACUUUAGUCAUAUUUUCCAUGUUUUAAACUAGAAAAUGCUUUAGAGGCUUUUUGUUUUUCUCCUUUUGCCAGGUGUCCUGUGGUUCAUCAUUCCAGCUGUGGGUUUGGUCUCACUCUUGAUAGUUGUUGUGUUUUUCAUCAGAUGGAAGAGAACUAGAGGAAACAAAACACAGAUGGAUGAAGAUGCUGGACUGAGUUUAAACCCUGCAGAGACUCGGUCUGCUCCUCAAACCAGUCAGGACUCGGCGGAUCCUGAAGUUUCCUACGCUACAAUCAGCUACAACAAGACCACGAAUAAAGUUCAGGUUCGGGGUGAUGAUGAAGGUGAUGCAGUGACCUACAGCACCGUGAAGGCUCAUUACUCUUCUGCUGCAGCCACUGCUGAUCCCAGCAGCCUCUACUCUACUGUCAGUUUCCCAGUCACAUAGUUCAAGUUGACAAAAAGGACUCGCAUUUAAGUUAAAGACUAAUUUUGUGUUUGCAUACAACAGAUUGAUAGCAACAUACUAAUUAACAUAAACUAUUAGAUAGAUACCAUUAUUAUAACAAACAUUUGGUUUCAAAUCCAGAAUCACGUCUUUAUAUCCUCCAUUAAAACUAUGUAAAUAAAUGUAAAUAGAAACUUUCUUUUCUUUAUGAAAUCAGACCAGUGUGUUUCCAUAAUGUGAUCCAAGUGUGAAUAUCUAAAUGUAUCCACAUAAGCCUUGUAUAGAUAUUAAUGAUAUAGUUAUAAAUUUAUAUUUUACGAUAUUUUACAGGAAAAAACUUUUCUGCAAACAUUUGUAUAUUAUUAACAUAUUUGCAGCUUAACAAAAAACUAAAAGUUGUUCCUGGUUAGUUCAGCAGAAGACAUGUGGAGGUUGAAAUUUCAUUUAAACCCUGCUUACACUUGCAGUUCAGGUUAAUUAAAAGCAUUAAAUUUACCAAGUAAUGAUGGCAGCUGACCUACUGAAUGAUUCCCAGCAUCCAGUGUCACCAAGUGUUUGUAUCUGAGUUCUGGAGUAAUGCUGAGCCUUAUUUCAUACAGAUUAUUUCAGUUACGGACUUUUGGUGUCUAUUUUAAUGACUUCACUGUUCCAGUGUUUCAGUUUUUGAAGUCUUCUUAUUAUGUUUUUUAAUUAAGAGUUGGUGUCUAUUUCUUUCUGUGUUUUAGGUCCCUUGAGGUUUCCCCUGUCUCAUCUACAUCCUUUAACCUCUUUGUUAUCAUGUUUAGUGCGAGUACUGGCUGUAGCUUUAGUUUGUUAUUUCCUGUUUUACUUUGAAGUUUACUUUUCUUUCAUGUAUCGCAUUAGUCCUACUUUUUAUUUUUGUUAUUUCUCACUCUGCCCUGAUUGUCUUCAUCUGUGUUUAUCCUCAACCUCAACUAGUCCUCAAUGUAUAUAAAGUCCUGUCCUCCCCCUUUAUCUUUCCCUCAUCAUUUGUUGGAUCUUGUGAUUCGGGUUUCUUCUUUAAGUUUUGUUCAGUUCCUUCCACAUUCAUCCAAUUUUGUUUUUGUUACAUUUUAAUAUGAGCAAUUUUUAAGUCUACUGUUUUCUAUUUUAUUUCUGCACAUAAAUAAACAUUUAUAUCUUGUAACCC
ensembl:lncRNA